rnacentral:rRNA from 1 species
CCUACGGGAGGCAGCAGUGAGGAAUAUUGGUCAAUGGGCGCGAGCCUGAACCAGCCAAGUAGCGUGAAGGAUGACUGCCCUACGGGUUGUAAACUUCUUUUAUAAAGGAAUAAAGUGAGGCACGUGUGCCUUUUUGUAUGUACUUUAUGAAUAAGGAUCGGCUAACUCCGUGCCAGCAGCCGCGGUAAUACGGAGGAUCCGAGCGUUAUCCGGAUUUAUUGGGGUUAAAGGGAGCGUAGAUGGGUUGUUAAGUCAGUUGUGAAAGUUUGCGGCUCAACCGUAAAAUUGCAAUUGAUACUGGCAGCCUUGAGUACAGUUGAGGUAGGCGGAAUUCGUGGUGUAGCGGUGAAAUGCUUAGAUAUCACGAAGAACUCCGAUUGCGAAGGCAGCUUACUAAACUGCCACUGACAUUGAUGCUCGAAAGCGUGGGUAUCGAACAGGAUUAGAUACCCCUGUAGUC